GAUUUAUUUUUCCUUUUGUCUUUGGCCAUUUUUUUUUUUUUUAAAUCGGUGUCCACCUAAUUUCUUUGAAAACUGGGAUAGAUUUUUGUUUUGUUCUUCUAUUACUUUCCCCUCCUAUUACACAAAGUCUCCUAACAGAACAAUAGAGGCCUUUUAAAAUGCAGGGAAAUGUCUCCCUCCCCAGAUUUCCGGAUUGCUAGUCUCUCAGAUCCUGGUACCAACAAGGCUCCUUGGCCUGGGGCAAGAUACUCCUAAAAAAUAAAAAAAAUAAAAAAGUUGGGGAUUUUUUUUGGUGAAGUAACAAAAGCUACACCCGUGGGGGGGGGGGGGGGGAGGGGGCUAGGUUAGUGGCCGUGUUGUGGAGAUGACCGGAGCCAGCUUCUCCUUAUAAGGCUGCUGAUCACCACUGUUAUUGUAUAAAAGCCAGGAGUGCCUCUAUUGCCUGCUAAUUGUCUGCUCCCCUCCCUUGUGUUUAAAAAUUAUUACUAUUUUUUUUUCUUUUUGGUAUUGCUGAAGACCGAACCCAGCCUAUUCCAACGCAAGUAUCCUAUUGCUAAGCCAUAUCCCCUAGCCUCAAAUAUUGAAUCUUCUCCAUGCAAAAAUAGAUGCUUCCAUUUUCCAGUAAAAUAGAUUUUUUUAUUGUUGCUACUAAGGUUGGAUGUGUGGCCACAUGCUUUUUAGGGAAACACCCUGCCUCUGACUGUAUCUUUAGCUUUCUUUUUUUACCUUUUAUUUGGAGACAGUGUCUCGUUACAUUGCCCCAAAUUUAUAGCUCAAUCAGGUCUUGAACCAUUCACGCUAUAGUAGAAUAACUGAGAUUCUAGGUUUGUGCCAUCAGGCCUGGCUAAGAAACAAUUUUACAUCAAUUGAUACAUACAAUGUCAUACAAUUUGUUGUGCUCUUCAUGAGGCAGGAUUAUACCUACUUAUGUUCUUAUCCCAUACUGUAAGAAACAAGACCUUUACUCUGUGAUAAUAAAUUUAGGAGGAUGGUACAAUUCUGCAGAAAGGAACAUUGGCUUAAAGAAAAAGCAAAAAUGGCUGGUAUGGUAUUUUGAUAUGAGGCAGUGUUGUUUAAAGCCCCUGAUAGUGAGAAAUUCCUGCUUCUUUUUCCAAACCAUAGUGUGGCAUUCUGAAGAAUUACAGUCUUUGCACUAUUGGUUCCCAAUACAACAGACCUUUAUCUAAUCCUUGGGCUGGAGAUUGCCUCCCGUUCUGAUUGAUCAUGGGUCCAGUCACAUAGCAGACUGCAACUUUCCAGCUCUCAGAGUUGUGAGACAGGCAAGCAUCAACUGCCAGCCGCUGAGAGAGGGGCCUCGAGUUGCCUGCUUAUCUCUGACUCUCUGAUGAGGUCUGAGCACCCCUCAGUCUGAAAAUGAACCGUAGCGGCCUGCUGCUGUGUCAUUUUUCCAUGUUCAUAAACACGGGCUCUUAGUAAAACAGGCCGUCAUUGCCACUGUUUCUAAAGCCCAGGCCUGUGCAGAGAAACCCUCAAUUUAAGAACACAGACAAUGUUCUUUGUUACACGAAUGUGCCCUGCAAUUUUAUGAUUAUACUGUGAAUGAAAAUACGAUGUUACCACAAAGCCCAAGAAAUGGCUUCCUUGGUGACUCUUGACAGACUUCAUUUUCGAGAUGGGCUUAGCUACAUCGUUGUUUUCGUACACAUUUUUGAUCUUACAUUAGGAAUUAAGGUUGAUUUAGAAAGAUAAUAAGGGAAAUAGGCAGGAGCAGAUUUCCAUUUUCAUUUCCUUAUGGGAUCAAGGACUUGUUCUCAUUACGUUGAGGAAUACUGAUUCUAGACUUGGCCUUGUGGCAUGCAACUUAAUUUGACUCCAGGGAGUUAUUCAAGAUCCCUUCCAUUAUGGGAAUCUUACAUGGUAGGAUACCAACCACUCAAUGCCAUUGAAUUUCUGCUUAAGCUGUUACCAUGGGAAGGUCAGGAUUCCAUAACGUUCAUAAACAGGAAUCCAGGGACACAAUGAACAGGAACUCUGAGUCACUGCAGGGAAUACAGAAGGAGUUUAGGUUGGGUGUCUACUGAGCACAGUGAAGAGGCGGGGUCAGUCUGUUGUUCUGGAGCUCGAGGUACUUACUAAUAAGGACCAAAACCAAGAGUAGGGAUGAGUGAGGUCAGCUCAUUACACAGAAGGCUGGGCCUCGGAGGACAGGUGGCCAUGCCUGGAAGAAGCAAGCCAGGGAUAAACUUUUCCUUAGUAACCCAAGCACGUCGUCUCAUGUGAUUUCCUCGGGACCUUUACAUGAAUCACAGGAUAUUUUUACACAGAUUUCUCACAUAUGUGUUCUCUUAAGAAUAGAGGCAAGGAUGGGGAAGAUAAUGAUGGAAGGGAUUACAUGCUGUGUGUAUAUGUGUAUGAUGGUUCUCUAUAUAUUUGUGUAUGUAAUUGGAUACAAGCUGAAACUGAAAAUCCUCUAUGCCUCUGUCACCAAGUUCUGGGAUUAUAUCUGUGUGCCACCGUUCCCAACAGGAGUGGCAUCUUGAGAGAAUAUACAAGGAAAGGAAGGAAGAUUUGGACAAGGCUAUAACCAUUGUAAAAACACAGAUUUUUAUAUUGUUUACUUAAUUAAUUUUGACUUGCAUCAUGUGUGAAUUCUUGACGAUUACAAAAUUCUCAUCACGUUUAGUGUAGUUAGUAUAUGCUAUGCUAUACUUUUGGUCUCCUUUUUCACAAAUUUACUUAUGAAUGUGGUAGUAAACCGUUUCUCCAAAGCCAGCACACAGAUGGGUGCUUUGUGUAGUUAGGGAUAUUGUACUUGGCUGUAAUCCCAGCACUCAAGAGGUUAAGGCAGGAUGAUCUUUAGUUUAAAGCCAGCCAGAGCUACAUAACAAGGGUCCAAUGGUAAUGGUUAGAAAUCACAGACCUGGUAUGUGUUCUCUUAAAUAUUCAGAGUUAGUUAUCUGGAAAUGAAGAGGUAAACAAGCUACUCUGAAGAGAAUGGGAUCCAGAUGUGUAGAUUGAUUGACAGCUCCCUCAGAAAGAGUGGGACAAGAAUUCUGGAACAUGCUGUGUAAACACAGUUCUUUCCCUGGUUAUGUCUAGACCAGCUGGUUUGGGCAGGGACAAGGAUGAUACAUGGGUUGAGUCAUCUACCUGUGGAUCUAUGAAGAUAUUCUGUGGAGAAGUGAGUGCCCAGAAGUGUACAGGCCUCAGUGGUGUAGCCACCAUGGGUCUGAUAACAUGUGUGACCCAGGAAUACAAGCAUUCCUGCUUAGUGACAUUGAGUAUUUGUCUACUGAGGUCAAGCUUACUACCUUCCAGAAAAUACAGUAUGAUGUCUGAUACUUGGUAGCUUGAUGUACCUCCUGUAACUAACCUUCAGACUUUAGGCUCAAAGACUGAUUCUUUUGGUUUCCCUGGGUUCAUAGUUACCAAGAACACAUGAUUUGUGUUCCAACAGAAUGCUUGGAUCUUCAUUUAUAAGAACAGAUAGCUUUAGUAAAGUAUCUUUUAUGAAUGUGUACUGGAUAAACAGGACCCAGCAUUUUGCUACAUAUAGGAAACACACCUCAGUGACAAAGACAGACAAACACUACCUCAGAGUGAAAGGCUGGAAAACAACUUUCCAAGCAAAUGGUCCCAAAGAAACAAGCUGGAAUAGCCAUUCUAAUAUCAUAUAAAAUCGAUUUUCAACCAAAAGUUACC
rnacentral:lncRNA from 1 species